GAUGAACGCUGGCGGCGUGCUUAACACAUGCAAGUCGAACGAAACACCUUAUUUGAUUUUCUUCGGAACUGAAGAUUUGGUGAUUGAGUGGCGGACGGGUGAGUAACGCGUGGGUAACCUGCCCUGUACAGGGGGAUAACAGUCAGAAAUGACUGCUAAUACCGCAUAAGACCACAGCACCGCAUGGUGCAGGGGUAAAAACUCCGGUGGUACAGGAUGGACCCGCGUCUGAUUAGCUGGUUGGUGAGGUAACGGCUCACCAAGGCGACGAUCAGUAGCCGGCUUGAGAUAGUGAACGGCCACAUUGGGACUGAGACACGGCCCAAACUCCUACGGGAGGCAGCAGUGGGGAAUAUUGCACAAUGGGGGAAACCCUGAUGCAGCGACGCCGCGUGAGUGAAGAAGUAUUUCGGUAUGUAAAGCUCUAUCAGCAGGGAAGAAAAUGACGGUACCUGACUAAGAAGCCCCGGCUAACUACGUG
rnacentral:rRNA from 1 species